AUCCUCGAUCUGCCCGGGUGCUAUGAAGUGGAUAUGCGCGUCAAAACCACCGGCGGUGACAAUCUUGCCCUCGCCCGCGAUCACCUCGGUGCCGGGGCCGAUGAUGAUGGUCACACCGCUUUGGGUGUCGGGGUUGCCCGCCUUGCCGAUGGCAUGGAUCAGCCCGCCCCGCAGCCCGAUAUCGGCCUUGUAGAUACCGGAAUGGUCGAGGAUCAGCGCGUUGGUGAUCACCGUAUCCACCGCGCCGCCCGCCCGGCUGACCUGCGAUUGCCCCAUGCCGUCACGGAU
rnacentral:sRNA from 1 species